UGCAGCUCAGAGGUAGAGCACUUGCCUGGCAUGCACGAGGCCCUGGGUCCAAUCCCCAGCA
rnacentral:tRNA from 1 species